rnacentral:rRNA from 1 species
AUACGUAGGGAGCGAGCGUUGUCCGGAAUUACUGGGUGUAAAGGGUGCGUAGGCGGGACUGCAAGUCAGAUGUGAAAUGCCGGGGCUCAACCCCGGAGCUGCGUUUGAAACUGUGGUUCUUGAGUGAGGUAGAGGUAAGCGGAAUUCCUAGUGUAGCGGUGAAAUGCGUAGAUAUUAGGAGGAACAUCGGUGGCGAAGGCGGCUUACUGGGCCUUUACUGACGCUGAGGCACGAAAGCGUGGGGAGCAAACAGGAUUAGAUACCCUGGUAGUCCACGCUGUAAACGAUGAUGACUAGGUGUGGGGGGACUGAACCCUUCCGUGCCGCAGUUAACACAAUAAGUCAUCCACCUGGGGAGUACGGCCGCAAGGUUGAAACUCAAAUGAAUUGACGGGG